UUGACAGUAGGUGCGUUCAUUGUGUUUAUUGUUCAAUUUUUGCUUAUUUUUAUAUUAGAAAACGAUUCUAACCCAGUGAAAAGUAAAACAAACAUAAUGAUAUAAGAAUUUAUAUUAUAUCGAAGAUUAUACAAUGGUGCAUUGUCGUUUUAUUUCAUGUUAAAGCGAUAGCAAGAAUAAAAUUGCCAGCGUGUGUUUUCACAGUAUUUUAGAUUGCAACAUCUGAGGAAAAUGCUAAUCCAGUACCAUAUAAAGAUACUGAAGCACUAUUGAUAACGGAAACAAAAACAAACAAUGUAACGGUUUUUGGGUGUAGUUGGAAAACAAAACAAAAAUUAACUAAAAAAUAAAAAGUAAAAUUUAAUAACA